rnacentral:siRNA from 1 species
AUUUGUGCAAUACUCAACUGC